rnacentral:rRNA from 1 species
UACGGGGGGAGCAAGCGUUGUUCGGAUUUACUGGGCGUAAAGAGCUCGUAGGCGGUUUGUCGCGUCUGCUGUGAAAACUGGAGGCUCAACCUCCAGCCUGCAGUGGGUACGGGCAAACUAGAGUGCGGUAGGGGAGAUUGGAAUUCCUGGUGUAGCGGUGGAAUGCGCAGAUAUCAGGAGGAACACCGAUGGCGAAGGCAGAUCUCUGGGCCGUAACUGACGCUGAGGAGCGAAAGCAUGGGGAGCGAACAGG